rnacentral:rRNA from 1 species
ACUCAAAGGAAUAGACGGGGGCCCGCACAAGCGGUGGAGCAUGUGGUUUAAUUCGACGCAACGCGAAGAACCUUACCUACCCUUGACAUCCUCGGAACCUGGUAGAGAUAUCGGGGUGCCUUCGGGAACCGAGAGACAGGUGCUGCAUGGCUGUCGUCAGCUCGUGUCGUGAGAUGUUGGGUUAAGUCCCGUAACGAGCGCAACCCUUAUCCUUAGUUGCCAACAGGUAAAGCUGGGAACUCUAUGGAGACUGCCGGUGAUAAGCCGGAGGAAGGUGGGGACGACGUCAAGUCAUCAUGGCCCUUACGGGUAGGGCUACACACGUGCUACAAUGGGCGGUACAAAGGGAAGCGAAACUGUGAAGUGGAGCGAAUCUCAAUAAAGCCGCUCGUAGUCCGGAUUGGAGUCUGCAACUCGACUCCAUGAAGUUGGAAUCGCUAGUAAUCGCGGAUCAGAACGCCGCGGUGAAUACGUUCUCGGGCCUUGCACACACCGCCCGU